ensembl:lncRNA
GGAUGGACGAGUUCAAUUCUGCAGAAAAGCUUGUUGCCUCGGUGAGUGUGGGCUAAACAUGAGAGGGGAGAUGGGCUGCCUUUUCCCCAUGUCCCUGCUAUCAGUCUCCCUGACCCUGCCACCCCUCUGUUCCAGCUCGUGAAAAAUUCGUGUAUGGAAAUGAUGGCUGGGGACACACACUUUGUCUGUUUAGGAGACAAAACCGAAGCGAGUUGCUGAGUGUCCACCAGCUCCAAUUUCAUCUCCAAGAAGUAGAAAUAGCAACACCCACUAUCAGAUCUUCAGUGAGAUGUAGACCCAGUGGAGUUCCCAAUGACUGGCACAGAGUCUAGCAACUAGUGGCUUUCACCAACAGGAGCUGGUUUUAAGACUUCUAUCACUGACCCCUGGCUCU